CCUACGGGAGGCAGCAGUGAGGAAUAUUGGUCAAUGGCCGUAAGGCUGAACCAGCCACGUCGCGUGAAGGAAGAAGGAUCUUUGGUUUGUAAACUUCUGUUAUAGGGGAAUAAAGGUAUCCACGUGUGGCAAUUUGCAUGUACACUACGAAUAAGCAUCGGCGAACUCCGUGCCAGCAGCCGCGUCAAUCCUGAGGAGGCGAGAGUGAGCAGGAUUCAUUGGGUGUAUAGGGUGCGUAGGUUGUUUUUUAAGUUAGCGGUGAAAGUUUGUGGCUCAACCAGAAAAUUGCCGUUGAUAUAGGAAGACUUGAGUGUGUUUGAGGUAGGCGGAAUGCGUGGUGUAGCAGUGAAAUGCGUAGAUAGCAAGCGGAACAC
rnacentral:rRNA from 1 species